GACGAACGCUGGCGGCGUGCCUAAUACAUGCAAGUCGAGCGGAAUGAUGAAGAAGCUUGCUUCUUCUGAUUUUAGCGGCGGACGGGUGAGUAACACGUGGGCAACCUACCUUGUAGAUUGGGAUAACUCCGGGAAACCGGGGCUAAUACCGAAUAAUCCAUUUUGCUUCAUGGCGAGAUGUUAAAAGGCGGCUUCGGCUGUCACUACGAGAUGGGCCCGCGGCGCAUUAGCUAGUUGGUAGGGUAAUGGCCUACCAAGGCGACGAUGCGUAGCCGACCUGAGAGGGUGAUCGGCCACACUGGGACUGAGACACGGCCCAGACUCCUACGGGAGGCAGCAGUAGGGAAUCUUCCACAAUGGACGAAAGUCUGAUGGAGCAACGCCGCGUGAGUGAAGAAGGUUUUCGGAUCGUAAAACUCUGUUGUAAGGGAAGAACACGUACGAGAGUAACUGCUCGUACCUUGACGGUACCUUAUUAGAAAGCCACGGCUAACUACGU
rnacentral:rRNA from 1 species